UACGUAGGGGGCAAGCGUUGUCCGGAUUUAUUGGGCGUAAAGAGCUCGUAGGCGGUUCUGUAAGUCAGGUGUGAAACCUCCAGGCUCAACCUGGAGACGCCACCUGAUACUGCUGUGACUCGAGUCCGGUAGGGGAGCGUGGAAUUCCUGGUGUAGCGGUGAAAUGCGCAGAUAUUAGGAGGAACACCAGCGGCGAAGGCGGCGCUCUGGGCCGGAACUGACGCUGAGGAGCGAAAGCGUGGGUAGCAAACAGG
rnacentral:rRNA from 1 species